AGAGUUUGAUCAUGGCUCAGAAUCAACGCUGGCGGCGCGCUUAACACAUGCAAGUCGAACGAGAAAGGGGAGCAAUCCCUGAGUAAAGUGGCGUACGGGUGAGUAACACGUGGGUAAUCUACCUUUUGGUGGGGAAUAACGCUGGGAAACCGGCGCUAACACCGCAUAAGCUCGGAAGAGGAAAAGAGAAAUCUGCCGAAAGAGGAGCCCGCGGCUGAUUAGCUAGUUGGUGAGGUAAAGGCUCACCAAGGCUUUGAUCGGUAGCCGGCCUGAGAGGGCACACGGCCACACUGGCACUGAAACACGGGCCAGACUCCUACGGGAGGCAGCAGUGGGGAAUCUUGCACAAUGGGGGAAACCCUGAUGCAGCGACGCCGCGUGAGUGAUGAAGCCCUUCGGGGUGUAAAGCUCUUUCGGCAGGGACGAUAAUGACGGUACCUGAAGAAGAAGCUGCGGCUAACUACGUGCCAGCAGCCGCGGUAAUACGUAGGCAGCGAGCGUUGUUCGGAGUUACUGGGCGUAAAGAGUGCGUAGGCGGUUUUCUAAGUUUGGUGUGAAAUCUCCCGGCUCAACUGGGAGGGUGCGCCGAAGACUGGAAGGCUAGAGUAUGGGAGAGGUAAGCGGAAUUCCUGGUGUAGCGGUGAAAUGCGUAGAUAUCAGGAGGAACACCUGCGGUGUAGACGGCUUACUGGACCAUUACUGACGCUGAGGCACGAAAGCGUGGGUAGCAAACAGGAUUAGAUACCCUAGUAGUCC
rnacentral:rRNA from 1 species